CGACCAGCUCCAGGCCGCAGAGCUAGAGGAGGGCAGAGCUGGGUGCGGCCCUGGUGCCCUUCCAUGGUCCAGACCGUCAAUCACGCUUCCAGCCCCUCAGAAGAGUGAAGACGCAGCGUGAGAGGCCCUGAGAGGUGGCCCGCAAUCAAGGAAUAGGUGGAUUUUGUACAUAUGCUAAGUCUCUACCCUCCAGGCAGGCCCUGUGGACACGCUGAGGAAAAGACUAUGAGGGACCUGCCCUUACUCGCUCACUGAGGAGGUGAUGCUCACCCACAUGAAACCCUCCGACAGAAACGUCAGGCAGGACCUGGAUCGUGUAGACCAUGUGAAAAUGUGAGAAAAUGGCAUCAUUAGAGUUUUCGGGUGAGCCCUACAGAUCCACAUCAUACACGGGGACCCCAAAUUACCAGCACACACAAAAACACUCCCCAGCCUUCCUUUCCCCUUGGACAUACCCAACAGACAGGGACCCGUAAACAUAUAACCAUGAAGCCAGUACCAGCACGCAUGGCAGGACUCCGGUCCCUCUCACUGGACAUGGCUAGCUUUUAUUUCCCGGGAUAUGGGACUGGAUUGAGUGGUUCCAAGGCUGCGUCAAGCCCAAGACCACAGAGCACAUUCUGGACCACUCACAAAGCCUGACAACACCCAGCAGCCAGUAUCUGCUGAUGUAGAAACUAUAAGCCCAGAGCCUUUGCCGGUCCCCCUGGAGAGCUGAUCACCUUAACGGCGCCUUCCCAAUUCUCCUACAACACAUGGACCACAAAGCCCUCAGCGCCCCACUCAUGGAACACUUCCCUGUGGCCAGCCUCAUUCCUCUUCCCCAGCCUAGAGUUGUCCCAGUUCCCAUGGGAAGCCCGUCCUCGGGCCUGACUUCAUUCCUUACCGACCCACAAACACCUGUGCUUGGAGGAGCUUUCCUCUGCCCAGCAAGUCCAUUUCGUGGUCUCUCCAGCUGGCCAAAUCCUACCUGUUCUUCAAGGCUGCUCUCCGUGGCCAGAGGGCAGCAGUUCACACGGCCCUCCCUGCCCCCUGGGUCCCCAGCAUGGGUUCCAGCAGCACCACACACACAGUUCCAACACAGGCAGCUGGUGGGGGCAGGUCACCCCGUGCAUCCUCCCAUCAUCGCCGGCAUCCCGAGGGCAGCCUCAUACAGCGUUCUCCGCUGCAUCCGCCCAGUGAACAGAGCCAAGGAUGAGGGGACUCAAACAGACUCCGAGGAAACCUAGUCGCCCCUGCAUUUUUUCAGAGGAAGGAAUAAAGGACCAUCAGAAGUGGAUUUAAUGGAUGCAUGCAGCUGAGUUCGAUGACGCUCUUAAAACGCCCUCCCCGCCCUCACUGGGCGCCCCUCUGCCUUCUGCAGCAGAGCCCUGGGGGGUGAGCAGCAGGCAGUUCGACAGGGCUCUCCAUGCUCUGGAUGCUGGGGAACUGAGUCUGUUCAGUCCACGAGGCUCCGGGGUGACAAUAAAAACUCCACCAAACAGAGCAAAGGACAUAAACAGAUAAUACACUGGCGGAAAUACAAAUAAUAAACAUAUAGAAUAAAUUAGCAAUCAAAGCUAUGCAAAUUAAACCACUUAAGCCCUGUCAAAUGCCAAGUAAGGUAAUAGUGUAUCACUUUAUUCCUAUAAAUUAGCACACACACAAAAAAAGGAAUUAAUAAAUCAAGUGCUGGUAGGACCGUGGAAAAAUGGGAACCUUCAUAAAUGGCUAGUGGCAUCAAGAUAUGAUACAAUAUUUGAGGGGGAACUAUUUAGGCAAACAUAUUCAAACCCCUAUAGAUAUCUGUGCCUGUAGCUUUAGAAUCCCACUGCUGGGUUUCGGCCUCAAGAACUGAAGAGAAACUGCAGCUCUGCCAUUGCUGAAUCAGCACUCCUGCAGGUUGAUGACUGCUAAUACCUCCGGUGUGUGGGUGAUAUCUCUACAGUCAAUUAAUGAGCCAAUCUUUGUAAGAUAUAACAUUAGCCAGCCUGGCUAACAUCAAUUACCGUCAAAGGCUGAGCUGUAAUCGUAGGGCGAAUAAGGCUGAGCUGCUCAUUGUUGAAAAUGACCAAGAACCAAAUCACCUUUCAGAACAAAACUGGGAUAAAUCAGAGAGAAACAAAGGAGGGAGCACUCGCCGCAUGUCACUUCACACAGCUGGCUCUGCGUCACUGCACAGCCUCACGGAGCCAGCGAGGCUCGCCCGGGUCCCCCAGCCCAGCGAGGCCCAGGGCCUUCCGAGUGGCUGGGUUCCAGCUGUCAGACACAAGCCUGGCUUCACAGAGGUGGAGCAACGGCUUUUCCAUGUGCUGGAAAGCUUCUUCGCAAAGCUUGGCUGCAAGGGUUGGGAUUAGGGAAGCUGGCUGGGGAGGGCUACCACCAAGUCACCAUGGCAACAGUCUCCCUGGCAUCGCCCUCCCCUAACCCGGCCAGCCCCCACCAACUGGUCUGCUCACAACGGGGACUGUGACUAACUGCUUCGUGUGGCAGGCGCUUCCCGCAGGCUUAUGCCUGUGAGCGAGCAGAAAGGGCGACGACUUUGACUUUGUAAAGCAUUUAUUCACCAGUUAUCUCAAUUCAGUUCACCUUGACAACCACGAAGGGGGUAUGAGGGACAGCAGGGUGCAGGUGAGUAGGCGACAGAAAGAAAGGAUAAACCUCUUGGAAAGCUCAGAGAGGGUGCGCGCCUCCUCUCUGGGGAGGGGACUGUGGGCGGAGACAUCUGCCUUCUAGACACGGCUGUGUCACCUGGGCAUCUCACUUAACCUCUCUGGUGGAGCGGGGAACGGGAAGACUGGACUAGGGCUGGAGACUGUACACUUUCAGAUUAAAUUGAUGAACACAUGGUCUCUGUCCCCUUCUCUCUAAUGUGCCAGGGCUCAAACUUGAACCAACACUGGAAUAACCCGCAGUGCCUAUUAAAACAAAAACACAGACUCCUGGGCCCCGCCCCAGAAUUUCUGAUUCACUGGGACUGGGAUGGAACCUAAGAAUCUGCAUUUCCAAGAAGCUCCCAUUUGGUGCUGACACUGCUAGUCUGGUACCAUAUUCUGAGACUCACAGCUACUUGCUCAUCCUUCCUGGGGGCUACCCAACCUGUGACAAAGGAUCUGGGAUCCCGAGAUGGAGCAAGGACAGGGCAAGGCCAUAGGCUGGAACCUAGAGAAGGCGGUGCAGCGAGGGAAGGAUGCCAGUGCAAAUGCGGCCGUCUGCAGGAAGCCUGACAAGUUCUGAGGCUACAGAAUUUCUCUGCAGGGUGCUGGUAAUCCCCAUUCACAGAGGGGAGGUCUAAUUGACUACAGGGUCCCAGAAGCACUAAGUGGAAUCCUAGUGUGAGCCCCACCUCCUGCAUCCUCCCAAGGCUGCCUAGAGGCGCUCUGGGAGGAGGAAGGGACUUCCUCUCUGCCCAGCUCUUCAGCACAUCCAAAACCACGCUGAGUUGAGUGUGGCUGCCCCGGGCUCCUGAGGAUGGGAGCCCCCAUUUUCAUUCUCAACUCAUCCCUGUCUUUUGCUCAUCUGAUCUGCUGUGCUCUGCUGUGCUCAGAAUCUCAAUCCCAACUGGCUAAAACCUGCCCAGUUUAUUCUUGCCCAGUUUCAUUGCCAAAAUCAAUUGAGGGAUGGUCCCUGCCCUGAGAAUUGAGGAGGUUUGGGCCCAAUUCAAGCCCUGACGUUGACACACUGAAGCUUAUAGCUUCUUUGAGCCUGAGUCUAUCUGUUAAAAGGACAUAUUGAUCACUACCUGACUUGAGCAAGUAAGAAAAUGAAUGUGUAGGUAAAUAAAAAAUAUAAACAUACAACACAAUGCAAGUUAUUCGAUAAGGCCAGUGUAUAGUGACAAACAGCCUUCUUGCCAGACUUCAGUCAGGCUCCUCUGAGCACUCUUCUUGACCAGGCCUCAACCUUGGCCUGCUCUUGAUAACCCUGCAUGAGCCAAUAGCAAGAAUCCUAUGAAGUCAGUUUAGCAAAAAUCCCCCUACCCUUGAGGUCCUCUCUCAGUCACUUUCCAUCCACUCACCUUCACCUUACUCCUUGGCGAGGCACUCCCACUUUUCCUUGUUGAAUUUGCAGCUGAGCUCCAUUCUAUAGGAAAGUCUCUUUUCCCUACCAUAAUAGCCUCUGAAUAAAAUCUCUUUUAUCCACUUGAACUAGCAUCUGGCUCUGGUUUCGGUUCUCUCAGACAUUAGUCAAUAUAUUCCUGGAAACUGAAGACUAGAACACUUGAAUUUAAAUCUUGGUCCAUCUCUGAUUAUCACUGAUCAAGUUACUGAUCCUCCUGAGGCCACUGUUUGCUUGUCUCUAGAACACUGAGUAUGGUGGGACACGCCCCAUAGGAGAACGAAAUGACACCCGGCAGAUAAGACGCUUCGCUGGGUACUGCCCAAUGGUGAGGCUGCAGUAAAUGAAUAGUGUUUGCCAAGAUCUCACUUAAAGCUGGUGAUAGAAAGACGUGGCAUUACCUUUGCAGUGGUCCUGUCAGAGAUGUACCUCUUGAAUCNNNNNNNNNNNNNNNNNNNNNNNNNNNNNNNNNNNNNNNNNNNNNNNNNNNNNNNNNNNNNNNNNNNNNNNNNNNNNNNNNNNNNNNNNNNNNNNNNNNAUUUCCAAAAUAUACAAGCAGCUCAUACAACUCAAUACCAGAAAAACAAGUCUUAGCUUAUGGGUAGUAGAGACAUGCUUCAUCUAUUUGCCAUACUUUGCAUUCUCAAAUAACUUUUGUAAAAUUACACAGAAAUUUGGACUUCUUUGGUGGUCUAGUGACCAAGACUCCACACUCCUGAUGCAGGGGGCCCAGGUUCAAACCCUGGUCAGGAAACUAGAUCCCACAGUUCCGUUCAGUUCAGUCACUCAGUCGCUCAUUCAUGUCCGACUCUUUGCGACCCCAUGAAUUGCAGCACGCAAGGCGUCCCUGUCCAUCACCAAUUCCCGGAGUUCACUCAGACUCACGUCCACGAGUCAGU
rnacentral:lncRNA from 1 species